AGAUAACACCAUCAUACGGAACACUUACAGUAUACGCUUCGAGAACAAACGCAUCGCCUGGUCCAGACAACUACGAUUUUAAAUACAAUGUGGACAAUACUGUAUUGAGGCAGAGAAGAAGUACUGAUACUGGAAAAGGCAAACGUAUAGAAUUCUUCAACGUAUGCAAAGGUUAUAACAAGACAACCUGUCCACCACUGUAUAUCGCAGUAUACGGCGAAAACUCAACAAACUCUUGUUCCGGUAAGAAUUUGAACACCACCUCAGGGCUGGUGCAGAAUUUUUYUAAAGAGGGGCACUGAUGAUCUGAUAUUUGAAGACCUAAUGAAGGGCAAAGAAAUACUUUGAAACUUUGACAA